rnacentral:misc_RNA from 1 species
AGAAGAAGAGAGGAGGAGGAGAGAGAGAAUAAAAAAUUUAAAAAGAAAAAAAUAAAAAAUAAAUUUCUAUUUUAAAAGAGGGCGUGACUGAGAUGAGAGAAGAAGAGAAGAAUAGAGAAGGAGGGAAGAGAAGAAUAGAAGAAGGGGAUAGGAGAGAGAGGAAAGAGGAAGAAGAAGAGAGAAAGAGAGGAAAGAAGAAGAAG